rnacentral:tRNA from 1 species
GGUGGCACAAUGGUUAAGCAUUUGGCUGCUAACCAAAAGGUCGGCAGUUCGAAUUGCUCC